CGCCGCUGGAGACUGCGUGGGCUCGCUGGAAGCUGGGACAGUCCCGACUGGGCCUGGCCUCAGAGGAAGAGGUGCCCGAAGACAGCUGAUCCCAUGGGUCUGGCCGGAUUUUCCACCCGGACGCCUGGGUUCCUGGCCACCCAAGGCUGGACACGUGAACUGAGUCGGAAACGUCGCCUGGCCCUUGAGAACCUGGGGGCCCCACUGAUUGUCAAUUGAUUUCUGCCCCCAGCCCCCCGGUUCACUGUCUCCCCCCGCGCCCCCCACCCAGGGCCGCACGCCCAGGCAGGGAGCGAAGGGCCGUGGGAAAUGGCCCCUUUCCCUCGCUGGCCGUGCAGCGCCGAGCACCCGAGGCCGGGCCACUGCUGCAAUAUGAUCAUAAAGAACCGUUGUAAUCGUCA